rnacentral:rRNA from 1 species
AUUGAACGCUGGCGGCAGGCCUAACACAUGCAAGUCGAGCGGAUGAGUGGAGCUUGCUCCAUGAUUCAGCGGCGGACGGGUCAGUAAUGCCUAGGAAUCUGCCUGGUAGUGGGGGACAACGUUUCGAAAGGAACGCUAAUACCGCAUACGUCCUACGGGAGAAAGCAGGGGACCUUCGGGCCUUGCGCUAUCAGAUGAGCCUAGGUCGGAUUAGCUAGUUGGUGAGGUAAAGGCUCACCAAGGCGACGAUCCGUAACUGGUCUGAGAGGAUGAUCAGUCACACUGGAACUGAGACACGGUCCAGACUCCUACGGGAGGCAGCAGUGGGGAAUAUUGGACAAUGGCGAAAGCCUGAUCCAGCCAUGCCGCGUGUGUGAAGAAGGUCUUCGGAUUGUAAGGCACUUUAAGUUGGGAGGAAGGGCAGUAAGUUAAUACCUUGCUGUUUUGACGUUACCGACAGAAUAAGCACCGGCUAACUUCGUGCCAGCAGCCGCCGUAACAC